AUUGAACGCUGGCGGCAUGCCUUACACAUGCAAGUCGAACGGUAACAGGUCUUCGGACGCUGACGAGUGGCGAACGGGUGAGUAAUGCAUCGGAACGUGCCCAGUAGUGGGGGAUAGCCCGGCGAAAGCCGGAUUAAUACCGCAUACGACCUGAGGGUGAAAGGGGGGGAUCGCAAGACCUCUCGCUAUUGGAGCGGCCGAUGUCAGAUUAGCUAGUUGGUGGGGUAAAGGCCUACCAAGGCAACGAUCUGUAGUUGGUCUGAGAGGACGACCAGCCACACUGGGACUGAGACACGGCCCAGACUCCUACGGGAGGCAGCAGUGGGGAAUUUUGGACAAUGGGCGCAAGCCUGAUCCAGCAAUGCCGCGUGCAGGAAGAAGGCCUUCGGGUUGUAAACUGCUUUUGUCAGGGAAGAAAUCUUCUGGGUUAAUACCUCGGGAGGAUGACGGUACCUGAAGAAUAAGCACCGGCUAACUACGUGCCAGCCGCCGCUGUAA
rnacentral:rRNA from 1 species